rnacentral:tRNA from 2 species
GCCUCCGUAGCUCAGCUGGAUAGAGCAUGUCACUUCUAAUGACGAGGUCGCGGGUUCGAAUCCUGCCGGGGGCA